GGAUAAGGGGGGGCCCCUCACAUGGGGCCCGAGCUCGGAGGCGGCCAGGCGGCGCGGAGUCCUCCCGGAUCGUGGCACUGGGCAGCCACAGAGCAGAAAGUGGCGGACUUGGGCGGCCACAGGGCAUCACAGCCACAGCAACGCAGGAUCCGAGCCUCGCCUUCAACCUAUACCACAGCUCAUGGACAACGCGGGAUCCUCAACCCACUGAGCAAGGCCGGGGAAUCAAACCAGCAACCUCAUGGUUCCUAGGCGGAUUCGUUUCCACUGCACCACAGUGGGAACUCUGUACUCUUAUUUUCUAGUAUUCAGUAUUGUCAUUGAGAAUUCUAAUGCCAUCCUGAUUCCCAUUCCUUUGUGAACUGGAAUUUACCCUUCUAGAAACUUAUAAUCUCUUUUAUCUCUAAUAUUCUGAAAUUUCAUAAUUUUGUGCCUUAAUUUGGAGGCUUUCAUGAAAUGUUUGCAAACAUUUGACUCUCCCUUCAUAUUCAAGAAUGAGGUCAUAAAACCCCACUGAAAACUACACAUGGGGGGCGGGGGAGUGUGCUUGCUCAUUGGUGAGUUUGCUAUGUGGUGAUCAGGGAAAAAGUUCAUCUUUCCCUAAGGAGAUCCCCCAAAUGUCAGAAACUAGAAGUCUUGGAGUUCCCUUUGUGGCUCAGGGGAAACAAACCCAAUUAGUAUCCAUGAGGAUACAUGUUCAAUCCCUGGCCUUGCUCAGUGGGUUACGGAUCUCAUGUUGCCAUGGCUGCGGCGUAGACAGGCAGCUGUAGCUCUGAUUCAACCCCUAGCCUGGGAACUUCCAUAUCCCAUGAGUGCAGCCCUAAAAAACAAACAAACAAAAACUAGAAGUCUUUUCUUCUGGGCUCUUCAGCUUCUCAAGAGAAAUAUCUGCAGCCUCUUGCCUGAGGGGACCUUCACCUGGCAGCCAGUACUCUGGAAACAGUUCAGGGGAAGGGGUCCAGACUGCUUAGUAUGCAGAGUGUCUCAUUCUUUUCUUUCCUGUAGGUGCCUCAUUCCCGUCCUUUUUGCUGCCUAAUGCACAAGCCUCUCUGCUGUUUCUCCUGCUGCCGUUGUAGUCACUUGACUGUGAGAAGUGGGACAGGGGACCUGGGGAACUAACAACUCCAAACACAUUCGCUCAGCUCCCAACCUCUCCCUCACUGCUGGGAUCCUGAGGCCUCUCAUCAUAAUCUGUCUCUCUCUCUCAUGACCUCUGGCAUCUCCAGGAUCCAAGCCAAUCUGGGGUUUUAUAGAAUAAUCGCUUGUCCUGCCCUCUAGAAUGACAGGAGAGGAUAGCUUCUGCUGUUCUGUUUUACCAUUCUCUGUUCUUCCACCCAUCCCAUCUUCCAGAAUUGUGUUGAAAUACAUCUUUUGCAGAUGAUCCCUCCUCUCUUCUCUUUGCCCCUAUGGAUUCAUCCUUUUAUGUUCCUGUACUGUCCUUUUCAGGAGACAAGGAAGAUACACAACUGUGGGUCGAUUUGCCAUCUUUAUUUUUUCCCCUUUUUUUAGGUCUUUAUUUCUUUCAAAUUAUAGUUGAUUUACAUUGUUCUAUCAAUGUAUGCUAUACAGUCAAGUGACCCAAUCAUAUAUAUAUACACACAUUUUUUUUUCACAUUAUCCUCCAUCAUGUUCCAUCACCAGUGACUAGACAUAGUUCCCUGUGCUAUACAGCAGGAUAAUUUGCUGUUUUUAAUCUGAAGCUAUUUCUAAAAUUAUCCAAAAGGCUUUACCACGCUGUCCCAGAUUUGUUUAUGCAAACAAAACCAGAAUUUAUGGGCAAACUUUUAAUUUCUUUGGUCCGUGGUGGCCAAGAAUCCUUUGUUCCUCCCUGACACCUAACGACUCAGCUUUGAUUAUUUCGCUUAGUAUCCCCCGAUUGGCUGCCUACUUCUGUGUUGAUUGGUUAGAUUAGACCACCCAAAGUGUGGUCCCUGGUUGGACCAUCAACAUCAGAUCACCUGGGAGCUUGUGAGAAAGGUAAAUUCACCAACUUAGCCCAGGCCUCAAGAAACUCCAGCCUGUGGGUCUAACAAGCCCUUCAGGUGGUUCUGAUCCUGUUAGAGUUUGAAACACAGUGACCUGGGGAGUUCCUGGUGUGGCUCUGCAAGUUAAGAACCUGAGUAGUAUCCAGAAGGAUGUCGGUUCAAUCCCUGGCCUUGCUCAGUGGGUCAAAGAUCUGGUGAUCUGACCCCUAGCCUGGGAACUUUCGUGUGGCCCUGAAAAGAAAGAAACACCUGAACUAUUUCAUUCCCAACCUACUGAUUAUUUAUAUAAUUGUUGACCAUUGUCUUCAAUUGGAGCAGUUAGUGCAUCCAAAAAAAAAAAAAAAAAAAUUAGGCUGGCAUCU